GGGGGUAUAGUUCAGUGGUAAAGCAUAUGCUUAGCAUACACAAGGUCCUAGGUUCAAUCCCCAGUACCUCCA
rnacentral:tRNA from 1 species